rnacentral:rRNA from 1 species
CCAUGCAGUCGAGCGAGGCGGGGAGCAAUCCCCAGUCGAGCGGCGAACGGGCGAGUAACGCGUGGAUGACCUGCCCUUUAGUGGGGAAUAACCCGGGGAAACUCGGGCUAAUACCGCAUAAGACCGAGAGGUGAAAGUGGGCUCGCAAGAGCUUACGCUGAAGGAGGGGUCCGCGUUCGAUUAGCUAGUUGGUAGGGUAAAGGCCUACCAAGGCGACGAUCGAUAGCCGGCCUGAGAGGGUGAUCGGCCACACUGGAACUGAGACACGGUCCAGACUCCUACGGGAGGCAGCAGUGGGGAAUUUUGCGCAAUGGGCGAAAGCCUGACGCAGCAACGCCGCGUGGAGGAUGAAGGUCUUUGGAUUGUAAACUCCUGUCAGCGGGGAAAAAGGGACUGGACCUAAUACGUCCGGGACUUGAUUGUACCCGCAGAGGAAGCCCCGGCUAACUCUGUGCCAGCAGCCGCGGUAAUACAGAGGGGGCGAGCGUUAUUCGGAAUUAUUGGGCGUAAAGGGCGCGUAGGCGGCCAUUCAAGUGACGGGUGAAAGCCCUCGGCUUAACCGAGGAACUGCCUGUCAGACUGGAUGGCUUGAGACCGGGAGAGGUGAGUGGAAUUCCCAGUGUAGCGGUGAAUGCGUAGAUAUUGGGAGGAACACCAGUGGCGAAGGCGGCUCACUGGACCGGAACUGACGCUGAGCGCGAAAGCGUGGAGCAAACAGGAUAGAUACCCUGUAGUCACGCGUAACGA